UAAUACGAAGGGUGCAAGCGUUAAUCGGAAUUACUGGGCGUAAAGCGCGCGUAGGUGGUUCAGCAAGUUGGAUGUGAAAUCCCCGGGCUCAACCUGGGAACUGCAUCCAAAACUACUGAGCUAGAGUACGGUAGAGGGUGGUGGAAUUUCCUGUGUAGCGGUGAAAUGCGUAGAUAUAGGAAGGAACACCAGUGGCGAAGGCGACCACCU
rnacentral:rRNA from 1 species